GCCGGCUUAGCUCAAAAUGGUAGAGCAACUGACUUGUAAUCAGUAGGUUACCAGUUCAAUUCCGGUAGCCGGCA
rnacentral:tRNA from 4 species